rnacentral:rRNA from 1 species
CCUACGGGGUGCAGCAGUGGGGAAUAUUGGACAAUGGGCGAAAGCCUGAUCCAGCCAUGCCGCGUGUGUGAAGAAGGCCUUCGGGUUGUAAAUCACUUUCAGUGGGGAAGAAAGCCUUGGGGCUAAUACCCUCGAGGAAGGACAUCACCCACAGAAGAAGCACCGGCUAACUCCGUGCCAGCAGCCGCGGUAAUACGGAGGGUGCGAGCGUUAAUCGGAAUUACUGGGCGUAAAGCGCGCGUAGGCGGUCUGAUAAGCCGGUUGUGAAAGCCCCGGGCUCAACCUGGGAACGGCAUCCGGAACUGUCAGGCUAGAGUGCAGGAGAGGAAGGUAGAAUUCCCGGUGUAGCGGUGAAAUGCGUAGAGAUCGGGAGGAAUACCAGUGGCGAAGGCGGCCUUCUGGACUGACACUGACGCUGAGGUGCGAAAGCGUGGGUAGCAAACAGGAUUAGAUACCCGUGUAGUC